GAAUAUUGGACAAUGGGGGCAACCCUGAUCCAGCCAUGCCGCGUGUGUGAAGAAGGCCUUUUGGUUGUAAAGCCCUUUAAGCAGUGAAGAAGACUCCAUGGUUAAUACCCAGGGACGAUGACAUUAGCUGCAGGAUAAGCCCCGGCCAACUCCGUGCCAGCAGCCGCGGUAAUUCCGGGGGUGCAAGCGUUAAUCGGAAUUACUGGGGGUAAAGCGAGCGUAGGUGGCUUGAUAAGUCAGAUGUGAAAUCCCCGGGCUUAACCUGGGAACUGCAUCUGAUACUGUUAGGCUAGGAUAGGUGAGAGGAAGGUAGAAUUCCAGGUGUAGCGGUGAAAUGCGUAGAGAUCUGGAGGAAUACCGAUGGCGAAGGCAGCCUUCUGGCAUCAUAUUGACACUGGGGUUCGAAAGCGUGGGUAGCAAAC
rnacentral:rRNA from 1 species